rnacentral:lncRNA from 1 species
AUCACAUGAAAACAAGUAUAAGAAUAUAUUUUGCCUAUAGGUGCCAAGACUUGUAUUGUUCACUUUCAGACACUUUCCUUUAUUGUAUUUGGGAACAAAAGCCUGGCUAUAGCAUGAGGAAGAGUGUUGGGUGGAGACAGAAGAAGAGAAAAGAAGUAGACUCAGGAACACUACUGUACAGGAACUUAAAACAUUCAGCAGUUUCAGAAACUCCCAGAAGACCCUUCCUUUGCUCAAAUCUGCCCAGCUCUUUCAGUCGUGCAGCACUGCUCACUGGCCAAGCCUAACUGGAAUUUGGAGGGCAUUGUACUCCCAACAGAUCAGAGGGCAAGCAGACAGCAAGGUGAGUGGUGGUCAAAUGGGUUUGGAAGGGCAGAUGGGCGAUAUCUGGCACAGCCUUGAUUGCUGUGGCAUAACAUAAAGGUAGGUGCGUCACGCUGGGCUGGUCAGUGUUCUGCUGAGUCAUGUAAAUUAUAGACUUUACUAAGAUUGUGUUCUCGCAGAAUCAUGGACAAUGUUCUUUUUUCCCCUUGAAUCACAAUUUAAAGUACUCUACACCUGAAAAAUUAUUGCUUGUUCUUAGAGGGUAUGUGUGUGUGUCUGUUAGUUCUUCCCCAAGCCUUAGAUGCAAAUUGGAAAACUGGACAAUGGCAUGAGGGACAAGCAGGCUUGACGUUCUCUUGCCUUUUGUGGGACAGAAGACAAUGAAACUGAACUGGCCGCAGGAUUUCUGGAAUUGGGCUGCUAGAUUCCCACACAUAGUGUUCUUUAAAACGGAAUGAGCCAGACUUGGAUAUUGCUCUGUGAAUUAUUGCCAUCAUUUGGUUUAGGUCUUUGGGGUUAGACCCUAGAGGCUGGGACAUGGGAUACACCUGAAGGAAAUAGCCGUGGCUACUCUCACUGAGGUGAGCCUGGGACUGGAGAGGUAAUGCUCUCUGGGACUCUGAGGAAGUCAAGUCUGCAUUCAGAGGUUUGAAGCCACCAAGCUUCCCACUGAUGGAGAUAGACAUGGCUUCCCCCAGGUGGGUGACCUGGGCUGGGGAGGCUGGGCGGGGAUGCUGAAGUCUGGUUGGGACCUAUGAAUCUGAGAGUGCCUGAUUCUAGGAGCGACUGUGACACACGGUGCUGUCUUUCUGCUAACAGUAAACCUUCCAUGCAUUCUUGUUAGAGGUCACAGUUGCUGUCAUUUGCACUGGGGAGAUUAGGAGGGCAGAAUUCCUUCUUCAAGAUAGUUUAGGGUAUCAGGAUGUUUAUCUUUGGAAGAUGCUGUGUCCCGAAGAGCAGAGG